UGCCAGAGUAUAAGAGCCUUUGGUUCUGGG
rnacentral:piRNA from 1 species